rnacentral:lncRNA from 1 species
CACAAGCCUUGCCACCAUCUUGGAAGCAGCCCACCACCAUCUUGGAAGCGGCCCACCACCAUCUUGGGAGCUCUGGGAGCAAGGACCCCCCAGUAACAGUCUUACUUCAGAUUGGCACACUCCACUAACACUUGAAGUAAGCAAUAUGAAAUGUUUAAGUAAUUUUGUAUUGAUGUGAAGAUCUUUGAGGACAAAGGAGAUGCCCUGAAUGACAACACAUCCAUAGCCCACUCCCCGUGUCCUAGGCAAGCCCAGCUGUUAAGAUCCCCUAAAAGUCUGCUCCAGUGAUUGACGCUUAGUGUGGAUUAUGGACACUGUCUCCCACUUGCAGAUAGGUAUG